rnacentral:RNase_P_RNA from 2 species
ACAGUUCGAAAGCUACGAGGCUCACCACGUACAAGACGCGACUCGCUCGCGUCUUCCCUCAUGAGCGGGCUAAGGUCUGAGCGUUUCAAUCUCCCUCGAUCGUCUCUAGCCGGGACCAGUCCUAAUGGACUGCGCGACGUACCAGAAAAUCAGUUGCCAACUGCGUAAUGGUCAACUUUGAAAGCGUUGCGGGGAUCGGGCGGGCGAUUUUUCCCCUUCCAUCAUACGCGGAUCGGUGCUCUCUCUAUCGCGGCGGGAUAGUGUCCUUUCGAGGACGCACACGGAGCCAGUGCGGAUCGAUGUACCGCCUCGGGCGACAGCCAGGAGGCAGAGGGGCAGUACGGUGUACGGAUUGCGUAUACAGGCUGCUAUUGAGCUAUAUUAGCUUGGGCGACAUUGAUUCGCCUAUGUAGAGACAGCCUCAAGUGACACGUCGUCACCCUCUAUGUGUGGCAGACAUGCCAUACUGGACAUACUUAACUGACCCAUGGUCAGGACUGGACGAAAAAGUCAGUAUCAUCGAUCCAGGCUACGCUGUACCUCCUAGAUCUGUCAUUUAGGCAGUGGCGCGACCGUUCCGCCAUAUCGGCGUGAUAGUGUCGUGCGCCGUACGAGGAGAGGAGCUGAUCUGUCGGUUUGGUAUAGGGCCGUCCGUCCUUCAGUUCACUUCGUGGCUCGCGGGCACUGGCUGCCUUGCGAAACUCGAUUCAGACUACUCUCGGACUGU